rnacentral:lncRNA from 1 species
CGCCUCUUCUCUCGCGCCCUCGCCUCUUCCUCCGCCUCCUCCUUCGCCUCUUCCUGCCUCCUCCCGGCUUCCGCCGCCGCCACUCCAGCCUAAUCCCAACCCCAGGGCGAAGCGUUUUCUUAUUUAUUUCCGUUUUCUCGCCACUACAGCCUCCUGACAAGGUGAUCCGGGCGGGCCCCGCAGGAAUUUUAUCCCCUCACCGGCCUCACACUAGUAUCGCAUGUCCACUAUCCAGAACCUCCAAUCUUUCGACCCCUUUGCUGAUGCAACUAAGGGUGACGACUUACUCCCGGCAGGGACUGAGGAUUACAUUCAUAUAAGAAUCCAGCAACGGAACGGCAGAAAGACACUGACUACUGUUCAGGGCAUUGCAGAUGAUUAUGACAAAAAGAAACUUGUGAAAGCUUUCAAAAAGGUAAAGGGAUUAGGAAGAAAGGAUUAGAGUUACUGAUGCACACCUCUGAACUGGAUUAUGAUUCACACCUUUAUAUCGGCGUGGAUGAAAAUAACUAGACCAAGAAAGUUGUUCUCAUUUUUGUAAUUAACAUGUAAAUAUUUAGUUAUUCUCCCAGUGUGGUCUCUCAUUUUAAAAGAAGAUUCGCGUUGCUUUUAAAUAAAUUUAAAUGUGAAAUAUUUAGUUCUUGAUGUUACACAUAAAAUCAUUUCCUGGUUUACAAAUUAAUUUGGAAGGAUUGUGGAUUAUAGGAGACAAAAUCUGUUUCUCUAAAUAUGAUCUAGCUUACUGAAAUGGCUAAUUCUGUUCAUACGGUGAAAUAAAACCUCAUAGUAGUUGACUAAAUUUUGUUGUAUAUUUAUGCACUUUUCCAGAAAUUUGCCUGUAAUGGUACUGUGAUUGAACAUCCUGAAUACGGA